AGAAUCAACGCUGGCGGCGUGCCUCAGACAUGCAAGUCGAACGCGAAAGUUUCCUUCGGGAGGCGAGUAGAGUGGCGCACGGGUGAGUAACACGUAGGUAAUCUACCUUUGGGUGGGGAGUAACAGCCGGAAACGGCUGCUAAUACCGCAUAAUGCAGCGGCUCGACAUCGAGACAGUUGUUAAAGCGGGGGGAUUCGUAAGAACCUCGCGCCUAAAGAGGAGCCUGCGGCGGAUUAGCUAGUUGGUAAGGUAAUGGCUUACCAAGGCAUCGAUCCGUA
rnacentral:rRNA from 1 species